UACGGGGGGAGCAAGCGUUGUUCGGAUUUACUGGGCGUAAAGGGCGCGUAGGCGGCCAGCACAAGUCAGUUGUGAAAUCUCCGAGCUUAACUCGGAAAGGUCAACUGAUACUGUGCGGCUAGAGUGCGGAAGGGGCAACUGGAAUUCUUGGUGUAGCGGUGAAAUGCGUAGAUAUCAAGAGGAACACCAGUGGCGAAGGCGGCUCACUGGACCGGAACUGACGCUGAGGCGCGAAAGCGUGGGGAGCAAACAGG
rnacentral:rRNA from 1 species